CUCGAAACCCCAGGCCGCCGGUCGCUUGCUUCGCCGGAGGAGGGGAGAGAGCGCGAUGGCAGCGGCGGAGGUAGCGACCGCGAACCUGUACGCCGUGGAGAGCGACGCUGCGGCGGCGGAGGAGGAGGAGGAGGAGGGGGAGAGGGCGGCAGCGGCGGCGGAGUACUCGUGGCCGCAGCUCCGCUUCGACCACCCGCCUCGCCGGCUUUACCACUUCGCCCGCCAGUUCCACUCCACCGAUCCCGCUGGCGGCGGCGGCGGCGAGAACUUCCUCAAGGGAGUCGAGUGGUCGCCCGACGGCUCCUCCUUCCUCACCAACUCCGACGACAACUCUCUUCGCUUGUUCUACCUGCCGGAGGGCGCGUACGGUGCUGCGGAGCACAUUGCCGGUGCUGCCGUCGGAGGUGAAGAUUCUUAUGGCGCAUACCUCCAGGUGAACGAGGGUGAACCCGUGUACGACAUCUGCUGGUACCCGUACAUGUCCGUGUCUGACCCAGCUACCUGUGUAUUUGCGAGCACCAGUCGUGAUCAUCCGAUACACCUCUGGGAUGCCACCACUGGGGAGCUUCGGUGCACUUACAGAGCAUAUGAUGCCAUGGAUGAGAUAACGGCUGCACUUUCAGUUUCAUUCAAUUCUACCGGAGCUAAGCUCUUUGCUGGAUACAACAAAGCAAUUAGAGUAUUUGAUGUUCAUCGGCCUGGUAGAGAUUUUGAGCAGUAUUCUUUGCUUAAGGGAGGUGAAGGACCAACUGGUAUAAUAUCUUCAAUUUCCUUCUCUCCACACAAUGGGAUGCUUGCUGUUGGCUCUUACAGCCAGACAACUGCUGUGUAUGCAGAGAGUAAUAUGGAGCCUUUGUAUGUCUUACAUGGCCAGCUCGGUGGUGUUACACAGGUACUUUUUUCAAAAGAUGGGAACUAUUUGUAUACUGGAGGGCGCAAGGAUCCAUACAUAUUAUGUUGGGAUAUUCGCAAUACUGUGGACAUUGUUUACAAGUCUUUCCGUAGCUUUAGUGACAACUUUUGUUGUCUUGCUACUCGUCAUCGCUCUGUUGUGAUUCUUGACCAAGGGUGUUCUUUUGUUUUCAUCAUCACGACUCUACCCAUGUGCUUCGCUUUACACUUCUUCGGCUUGAUUCAACAAGAUUACCAAGGCUCCACUCUAUGAUGUCUUUGAAGAGUAAGUUUAGUACUUAGUAUCCACUCUUUCAAAUGCAACGCUAUUGCAUACGCCUUGCAUUUGAGGGGGUGUUAGGAAUAUAGAGUCCUUAUCCUUUACGAAUAGAUUAUUAGAACCAUUUCCAUAUACUCUCUCAUGUACUCUAUAUAUUACCCUAUUGGGGCCAUCAUCGAAUACAUGUUGCUAUUCCUAACAUCCCCUUGCCUUCACAAUUCGAAGCAAGCCUGUCCAUGUAUUGGUCGUCUUACUCUAGCAAUCUUUCAAUGUCUAUACCAAUCCGGUAUAUUGGACAUCAUCAGUUAAUAAGUAGAACGGUUCUACUAUUGGUGCAAUUUUGUUGGGGUUUUUGAAGUAGAAUUAUGUUCUGAUUUUAUGCAAGCUUCUUGUAUGUCUUUUUUUUGGAUUCCCAUUAUCAGGUUGUACAGAUCAGCUGAUACUACUAAUCAAAGAAUUUAUUUUGACAUUGAGCCUUGUGGUAGGCAUUUAGCCACUGGUGGCCAGGAUGGCAUGGUCCAUGUAUAUGACCUUCAAGGUGGUCAAUGGUUAACAGCCUUCCAAGCAGCAGCUG